CUGAUGCAGCGACGCCGCGUGAGGGAUGACGGCCUUCGGGUUGUAAACCUCUUUCAGCAGGGAAGAAGCCACAAGUGACGGUACCUGCAGAAGAAGCGCCGGCUAACUACGUGCCAGCAGCCGCGGUAAUACGUAGGGCGCAAGCGUUGUCCGGAAUUAUUGGGCGUAAAGAGCUCGUAGGCGGUUUGUCGCGUCUGCUGUGAAAGCCCGGGGCUCAACCCCGGGUCUGCAGUGGGUACGGGCAGACUAGAGUGCAGUAGGGGAGACUGGAAUUCCUGGUGUAGCGGUGAAAUGCGCAGAUAUCAGGAGGAACACCGAUGGCGAAGGCAGGUCUCUGGGCUGUUACUGACGCUGAGGAGCGAAAGCAUGGGGAGCGAACAGGAUUAGAUACCCUGGUAGUCCAUGCCGUAAACGUUGGGCACUAGGUGUGGGGGACAUUCCACGUUCUCCGCGCCGUAGCUAACGCAUUAAG
rnacentral:rRNA from 1 species